UACGGAGGGUGCGAGCGUUAUCCGGAUUCACUGGGUUUAAAGGGUGCGUAGGUGGGCAGGUAAGUCAGUGGUGAAAUCUCCGGGCUUAACCCGGAAACUGCCAUUGAUACUAUCAGUCUUGAAUACCGUGGAGGUAAGCGGAAUAUGUCAUGUAGCGGUGAAAUGCUUAGAUAUGACAUAGAACACCAAUUGCGAAGGCAGCUUACUACCGAAUAUUGACACUGAGGCACGAAAGCGUGGGGAUCAAACAGG
rnacentral:rRNA from 1 species